GCUUUAGUAGCUUAGUGUAAGAGCGCCGGUUUUGUAAUCCGGAGGAUGGAGGUUUAAUCCCUUUCUAGAGCA
rnacentral:tRNA from 1 species